GUCAGAAUCCCGCCCAGGCGGAACGAUACGGCAGCGCCGCGGAGCCUCGGUUGGCCUCGGAUAGCCGGUCCCCCGCCGUCCCCGCCGGCGGGCCGCCGCGCGCGCCCCGCGUGGCGCGGCGUGCCCCGCCGCGCGUCGGGACCGGGGUCCGGUGCGGAGAGCCCCUCGUCCCGGGAAACGGGGCGCGGCCGGAAAGGGGGCCGCCCCCUCGCCCGUCACGCAACGCACGUUCGUGGGGAACCUGGUGCUAAACCAUUCGUAGACGACCUGCUUCUGGGUCGGGGUUUCGUACGUAGCAGAGCAGCUCCCUCGCUGCGAUCUAUUGAAAGUCAGCCCUCGACACAAGGGUUUGUCCGCGCGCGCGCGCGCGCGCGCCCUUGCGCCUCCUUCCCUCCUUCCCUCCUGGUGGAUCCGGUCGACCAGCUGUCCCCGCGGUCCCCGCGGUCCCGCGGCGGCCGCCCGCCCGCCCGGGUCGACCAGCACCCCCGCGGUCCCACGGUCCCGGGUCGACCAGCACCCCGUUGGCGCCGCCUCGCCUCGACGACUACCCGGGCGGCGGAGGCCGGGCCUCUCGCCCUCUCGCGGUGCGACCAGCCGACCUGGGCUCCCGCCCCGCCCCGCCCGCUUCCGCCAGCCACACGGCGCGCCCGUGUCUCCGCCCCUCCGCGGGUCGACCAGCAAGCCGUUCCCUCGCGCCCGCCUCCAUUCCCCGUGCGGGGGACUUGAGUGGUUUGUGCCACCGCCACCGGUGUUUCAUACCCAGCGAUUCCCCCGGUCUCGCCCUUGAUCCUCCUUUAUGGAUCUAUUCGUGACAGACGCAAAGACAGGCAGACACUUCGGCACGGGGAGAAAGGCGCUCGAGCGCCGAGCCCCCAUGCGUCGCCGCCAGUUUGCCUUUUUCUUUUUUCUCCCUUUUUUUUUUUUUCUGGAAGGUUUGUUUGUAUGUAUGUAUGUAUGUAUG
rnacentral:lncRNA from 12 species